AUGUUAAAUCAAAAAUAAACUAAUUUGAAUAACCAAUCAACUUAUCUCAUAAAGCAAUGGUUAAAUAGAGUAGAAACUGGUGUUUCUCAUUCAUUUUAUAAUUAAAUCCCACCUGUUUCUAUCAUUUCUAGUGAGAUUGUUCUGGUCUCACCAGAAAGUCAGGAUACAGGGCAUUUGACACCAUUAAAUAUUCCCUCUCCCUUUUCUUUCCCUGUCCUUCACAAACCAUUUCAAAACCUUCCAAACAUUUCCAUCCUUCUGCAAACCCAAUUUACAACUGAAUUGAAAAGACCCCAUCCAAGAUAAAUCCCACAGUAUCAACACCACUAAUGCAUAUUCGUAACCAGUAAAUUGUGUGUGCUGGUGAACCGUAGGUCAAAAACACACCUGAACAAGGCCUCACUUAUCUGGAAGUCUGUUUAUGGCCUAAUCCAGAUACUUUUAUCCUGCUCUCCCCGAUACCACAGUCUCCGGGGACAUUCCAACGAGAGAUAAUGAAACCCCCUUUUCUGGAAAAGAAAUGGUACAUUUCGUUAGCAUUCACUAUGUUACAUUUUAAUCAGCAAGCCAAAAGUAUGAAUUAUAAACCAAACAUGAUAAUUGUAAAUACACUGUCCUUACUCUCAUCAUUAAAUGUAUUAAUUAUAAACCAAACAUGAUAAUUGUAAAUCCACUGUCUUUACUCUCAUCAUUAAAUGUCUGAAUUAUAAACCAAACAUGAUAAUUGUAAAUCCACUGUCCUUACUCUCAUCAUUAAAUGUAUUAAUUAUAAACCAAACAUGAUAAUUGUAAAUCCAUUGUCUUUACUCUCAUCAUUAAAUGUAUUAAUUAUAAACCAAACAUGAUAAUUGUAAAUCCACUGUCUUUACUCUCAUCAUUAAAUGUAUUAAUUAUAAACCAAACAUGAUAAUUGUAAAUACACUGUCCUUACUCUGAUAAUUAAAUGUUUGUUUCAAUCCACCAACAUUUAUUUUAUCUUUUAUUCAGUCCUAUUCUCCAGAACCACCACAAUGUUCAUGAACUAACUGAAAACAUGCCCAGUUCAUUUUAGGUUUAGUAACCCCUUUGCUAAUUCCUCGUUACCCCUCCACCCCUUUCCUACAUUCUAGAAAUCUAUUUCAGAAUAAAACCCACAUCAAAUGUAAAUCUAUAUCAGAAUAAAACCACAAACAACAUCUCAUGAGAUCAAAAAAC
ensembl:lncRNA